GACGAACGCUGGCGGCGUGCUUAACACAUGCAAGUCGAACGGAAAGGCCCUGCUUGCAGGGUACUCGAGUGGCGAACGGGUGAGUAACACGUGGGUGAUCUGCCCUGCACUUCGGGAUAAGCCUGGGAAACUGGGUCUAAUACCGGAUAGGAGCCAUUUUUAGUGUGAUGGUUGGAAAGUUUUUUCGGUGUAGGAUGAGCUCGCGGCCUAUCAGCUUGUUGGUGGGGUAAUGGCCUACCAAGGCGGCGACGGGUAGCCGGCCUGAGAGGGUGGACGGCCACAUUGGGACUGAGAGACGGCCCAGACUCCUACGGGAGGCAGCAGGGGGGAAUAUUGCACAAUGGGCGGAAGCAUGAUGCAGCGACGCCGCGUGGGGGAUGACGGCCUUCGGGUUGUAAACUCCUUUCGCUAGGGACGAAGCUUUUUGUGACGGUACCUAGAUAAGAAGCACCGGCUAACUACGUG
rnacentral:rRNA from 1 species